rnacentral:lncRNA from 1 species
ACUGCACGUAGGCCUCCAUUCUUGAUUUUGCCCUAGGCUCUGCAAGUGUUAGGGGCAGGCCUGCACUAACAACACUGGAAGAGAAUCCUGUUAGAUAAUAGGAUCCUCUUAGAUCCCCCACUUUGCAGAGGAAGAUGCUGAGGCUCCAGGAACGUCAAUGGCUGAAAGUCACAAGACUUCCAAGGGGCACAACUGGGAACUGAGCUCAGGUCUGCCUGACCCAGAGGCCAUGCUCUUGUCUAUGUGAUAUGGAUGAGGCAGAGAGGAGGCUGCAGGCAAUGCUGCCCCAGAUCCAGGCACGAAGAGUCUUUGCCUGGGGCCUUGUACUUUAGACAGCACAUACACCACAAGCACACACGUGUGUUAAAGCAGCGGCCCCCGACCUUUUGGGCACCAGGGACAAGUUUCGGUGGAAGACAACUUUUCCACGGACAGUGGGGCAGGGCGAGAUGAUUUGGGGAUGAAACUGUAGUUACAUUCUGAUAAGGAGCACACAACCUAGAUUCCUCCCAUGUAUAGUUCACAACAAGGUUCUCAUUCCAAUGGAAUUCCAAUGCCACCUCUGAUCUGACAGGAGGCAGAGCUCAGGUGGUCACAUUCACUUGCCCCACGGCCUGGUUCCCAACAGGUCACCGACCAGUACUGCAGCCCUGGGGUUGGGGAAGCCCCUAUUAAAGAAUACUUGGGGACCCUGUCACUCAGGAUCUUGUAUUUGCCAUUACAGUGUGGUCAAGUAAUCCUAAACAUCUUCUCUAGUGACUAACACUGUUCAGGCCCUGGGAAACACUUCUCCAUCUCUUGCCCUAUGUCCUCAAAACAAAGAGUGACUAUAUUUGAAUGCCAGGAUGGUUUUAUAGAUUGUCCCAAUGCUGAUGUCAGAGAUAGACACUGUCUUCAAAGUACAGGGAGGAUUUAAGUGUAGAAAUUAGAAAAAAGACAAAUUAAUAAACUCAUCAAAUCCUCCUCAAAAAGCAUGAAUGCAACCGACUCUCAUGUCACACAUCAUUUCCCAUGAGAGUGACUUGUCCAUUUCCUUGCUUUUUUUGUUUUCCAAUUUGUGUUUCCAGAAUAUUUAUGAUUUUAUGCUAAUUGCAGAAGCUGCACAAGGCAACUGAGGAAUGUUUUGUAAUAUUAAGCAAUUCAUAUUAUUCACAUAAAUUCAUAUUACUCUUAAAUUGGUGUAGAUAGAGCUAUAGCUAUAGAUAAAUAUACAGAUAUACAUACUAUGGACUGAAUGUCUGUGUGCCCCCAAAAUUCGUAUGUUGAAGCCUAAAUCCCCAGUGUGAUGGUAUUUGGAGGAGGGGCUUUUAGGAGGUGAUUAGGUUGUAGAGUCGAGUCCUCAUGAAUAGAAUCAGUGACCUUAUAAGAAGAGAUGGGCUGGGCCCAGUGGCUCAUGCCUAUAAUCUCAGCACUUUGGGAGGCCAAGGCAGGCAGAUUGCUUGAGCCCAGGAGUUCGGGACCAGCCUGGGCAACAUGGGAAAACCCCAUCUCUAAAAAAAAAUACAAAAAUUAGCCAGGCAUAGUGGCACACACCUGUAGUCUCAGCUACUCAGGAGGCAGGGGUGGAAGGAUUGCUUAAGCCCAGGAGGCAGAGGAGGAGGUUGCAGUGAGCUGUGUUUUUGCCACUGCACUCCAGGCUGGGCAACAGAGUGAGACCUUGUCUCAAAAAAAAAAAAAAAAAAAA